rnacentral:rRNA from 1 species
GGAUGAACGCUGACGGCGUGCUUAAACACAUGCAAGUCGAACGAUGAAGCCUAGCUUGCUGGGUGGAUUAGUGGCGAACGGGUGAGUAACACGUGAGCAACCUGCCCCGGACUCUGGGAUAAGCGCUGGAAACGGCGUCUAAUACUGGAUAUGAGCCUUCACCGCAUGGUGGGGGUUGGAAAGAUUUUUUGGUUCGGGAUGGGCUCGCGGCCUAUCAGCUUGUUGGUGAGGUAAUGGCUCACCAAGGCGUCGACGGGUAGCCGGCCUGAGAGGGUGACCGGCCACACUGGGACUGAGACACGGCCCAGACUCCUACGGGAGGCAGCAGUGGGGAAUAUUGCACAAUGGGCGGAAGCCUGAUGCAGCAACGCCGCGUGAGGGAUGACGGCCUUCGGGUUGUAAACCUCUUUUAGCAAGGAAGAAGCGAAAGUGACGGUACUUGCAGAAAAAGCGCCGGCUAACUACGUGCCAGCAGCCGCGGUAAUACGUAGGGCGCAAGCGUUAUCCGGAAUUAUUGGGCGUAAAGAGCUCGUAGGCGGUUUGUCGCGUCUGCUGUGAAAUCCCGAGGCUCAACCUCGGGCCUGCAGUGGGUACGGGCAGACUAGAGUGCGGUAGGGGAGAUUGGAAUUCCUGGUGUAGCGGUGGAAUGCGCAGAUAUCAGGAGGAACACCGAUGGCGAAGGCAGAUCUCUGGGCCGUAACUGACGCUGAGGAGCGAA